UACAGAGGUGGCAAGCGUUGUUCGGAAUUACUGGGCGUAAAGGGCGCGUAGGCGGCCUUCUAAGUCAGACGUGAAAUCCCCCGGCUUAACCGGGGAACUGCGUCUGAUACUGGAUGGCUUGAAUCCGGGAGAGGGAUGCGGAAUUCCAGGUGUAGCGGUGAAAUGCGUAGAUAUCUGGAGGAACACCGGUGGCGAAGGCGGCAUCCUGGACCGGCAUUGACGCUGAGGAGCGAAAGCCAGGGGAGCAAACGGG
rnacentral:rRNA from 1 species